rnacentral:rRNA from 1 species
UCAAAUUUGAAAUCUGGCUCCUUUGGGGGCCCGAGUUGUAAUUUGUAGAGGAUGCUUCGGGCAAGGCUGCGGUCUAAUUUGCUUGGAACAGCGAGUCAUAGAGGGUGAGAAUCCCGUCUGGGACCGCGAGCCGCGCCCGUGUGAAGCUCCUUCGACGAGUCGAGUUGUUUGGGAAUGCAGCUCUAAAUGGGUGGUAAAUUUCAUCUAAAGCUAAAUAUUGGCCAGAGACCGAUAGCGCACAAGUAGAGUGAUCGAAAGAUGAAAAGCACUUUGAAAAGAGAGUUAAACAGUAUGUGAAAUUGUUGAAAGGGAAGCGCUUGCAACCAGACCUGCGUGCGACGGUUCCCCCGGUCUUCUGACCUGGCUAAUCCGUUGUAUCCAGGCCAACAUCGGUUCGAGUGGUCGGUGAAAGACCCCGGGAAUGUAUCUACCUGCGGGUCGACUUAUAGCCCGGGGUGCAAUGCGGCCCACCCGGACCGAGGAACGCGCUCCGGCUCGGAUGUUGGCGUAAUGGUUGUAAGCGGCCCGUCUUGAAACACGGACCAAGGAGUCUAACAUCUAUGCGAGUGUUUGGGUGUCAAACCCCUACGCGGAAUGAAAGUGAACGGAGGUAAGAACCCCGUCCAGGGGCGCAUUAUCGACCGAUCCUGAUGUCUUCGGAUGGAUUUGAGUAAGAGCAUAGCUGUUGGGACCCGAAAGAUGGUGAACUAUGCCUGAAUAGGGUGAAGCCAGAGGAAACUCUGGUGGAGGCUCGCAGCGGUUCUGACGUGCAAAUCGAUCGUCAAAUUU